rnacentral:rRNA from 1 species
UACGUAGGGGGCUAGCGUUGUCCGGAAUCAUUGGGCGUAAAGAGCGUGUAGGCGGUCCGGUAAGUCAGCUGUGAAAGUCAAGGGCUCAACCCUUGAAUGCCGGUUGAUACGGUCGGGCUAGAGUCCGGAAGAGGCGAGUGGAAUUCCCGGUGUAGCGGUGAAAUGCGCAGAUAUCGGGAGGAACACCAAUGGCGAAGGCAGCUCGCUGGGACGGUACUGACGCUGAGACGCGAAAGCGUGGGGAGCAAACAGG